rnacentral:lncRNA from 1 species
UGCUGAGCUGCUGGUCAGCCUGUUGCAGUCGGAAUGAGUGGUGACGCGUCUCUAAAUAUAAACUGAAGUAUACAGAAAAGGGGCCCUUUACCACUUCACUUAUAGAUUGAGCCACAUACCAGUGAAAUUGAUUUUGCUUCAGCAACUGGAUUUUCAGCUUGAGCUGUGGUAGCAUUUGGAGCAGAGUCUGUGCAGAAUAUCAGGUCAAAU